rnacentral:sRNA from 1 species
CAUUUCCUGGGUCCUAGAACGGGCCUAGCUCAGAGCAGGUGCUCACUAUUGAUGGAAUGCUUGUUGAAAGAAUGCAUGAAUCUCAUCUCCUUUUGUGGGUGAAAAACUCAUCCUAUUCUCAUUCCUGAUUAACUUUCUUUCUUUUUCUUUUUUUUUUCAAAAGGGAGCCAUGAUCUGUCACCCAGGUGGAGUGCAAUAGUGUGAUCUUAGCUCCCUGCAACCUCUGCCUUCUGGAUUAAAGAAAUUCUGCUGCCUCAGCCUCCCAUGUAGCUGGGAUUACAGGGGAGUCACUGAGCAGAAGGAAGCGAGUUGCCUGAGAUUCUUCAAAGCCCCAGCCCUUUUGGAGGUUAGAUUGUUAUUCUCAGAGCCUUUAUGAUACAUAAUAAAGACCUAGCUUGGACCAAUAUUAGGAUGAGUUAUCUUGGUAUUAACAUUCUUUUAGGUAGAAGUUGCUGGCCCCAUCUUGCUCACAAUCCUCCAAAGUUUGAAAGUUAUUUUCCAGGAGACUUGGCUUGCACUGAGAGUUGUCCUCCCACCCUCUCUCCAAAUUUCCUCUUGGGGGUAGCCUAACAAGGUACUGUCACAGACCCUUGCCAGCCACGAUGACCCCACCCAGACCAUCCCUCUGCUGUUUCACUCUUUGUUCCUCUCUGGAGCUCUCUGGGGAAGGGU